rnacentral:tRNA from 1 species
GGGUUGGUAGCUCAGUCGGUAGAGCAACGGCCUUUUAAGCCGUGGGGCACGGGUUCGAGUCCCGUCCAACCCACCA